AGUGAACGCUGGCGGCAUGCCUAACACAUGCAAGUCGAACGGCAGCACAGUAAGUUUUUGCUGUUAUCGGUUGCCAGUCGCGUACGUGAGACGUAUACAUCGGACUCUACUUUUUCGGGGGGGAUAACGAAGCGAAACUUACUCUCAUACCGCAUACCACCUUCGGUUGAAAGCAGUGGAUCUUUUCACCUUGCGCGAUUGAAUGAGCCGCUUUCGGAUUUGCUAGUUGGCGGGGUAAAGGCCCACCCAGUCGAGGAUCCGUAGCUCGACUGAGAGGCUGGUCAGCCGCACUGGAGCUGAGACACGGUCCAGACGCCUAAGGGAGGCAGCAGUGGGGAAUGUUGGACAAUGGGCGCAAGUCUGAUCCAGCCAUACCGCGUGUGUGAAGAAGGCCUUCGGGUUGUAAAGCCCUUUUGUUGGGAAAGAAAAGCUGCCGGUUGAUACCACGCUGUUCUGACGGUACCGGAAGAAUAAGCACCGGCUAACUACGUG
rnacentral:rRNA from 1 species